GCCCGGCUAGCUCAAUCGGUAGAGCGUGAGACUCUUACUCCGGUGACAUCUCAAGGUUGCGGGUUCGACCCCCGCGUUGGGCU